AAGAGUGGCGCAGCUACACAUGCAGUCGAGCGGUACAGGAGAAAGCUUGCUUUCUUGCUGACGAGCGGCGGAGGGUGAGUAAUGUAUGGGGAUCUGCCCGAUGAGGGGGAUAACUACUGGAAACGGUGGCUAAACCGCAAACGUCUACAGACCAAAGCAGGGGCUCUUCGGACCUUGCACUAUCGGAUGAACCCAUAUGGGAUUAGCUGUAGGUGGGGUAAAGGCUCACCUAGGCCACUAUCUCUAGCUGGUCUGAGAGGAUGAUCAGCCACACUGGGACUGAGACACGGCCCACACUCCCACGGGAGGCAGCAGUGGGGAAUAUUGCACAAUGGGCGCAGGCCUGAUGCAGCCCUGCCGCGUGUAUCAAGAACGCCUUAGGGUUGUAAAGUACUUUCAGCGGGGAGGAAGGUGAUAAGGUUAAUACCCUUAUCAAUUGACUUUACCCGCAAAAGAAGCACCGGCCAACUCCGUGCCAGCAGCCGCGGUUAUACGGAAGGUGCAAGCGUUAAUCGGAAUUACUGGGCGUAAAGCGCACGCAGGCUGUCAAUUAACUCAGAUGUGAAAGCCCCGAGCUUAACUUGGGAAUUGCAUCUGACACUGGUUGGCUAGAGUCUUGUAGAGAGGGGUAGAAUUCCGUGUGUAGCGUUAAAUGCGUAGAGAUGUGGAGGAAUACCGGUCGCGAAUGCCGCCCCCUGGACUAAGACAGACGCUUAAGUGCGAAAGCGUGGGGAGCACACAGGAUUAGAUACCCUGGUAGUCCACGCUCUACACUAUCUCCAUUUAGAGGUUGUGGUCUUGAAUCGUGGCUUCUGGAGCUCACGCGUUAAAUCGACUGCCGGGGAGUACGGCCGCAGGGUUAAACUCAAUGAUUUGACGGGGCCCGCACAAGCGGUGGAGCAUGUGGUUUAAUUCUAUGCACGCGAGAUCUUACCUACUCUCGACGUCCCGCGACCUUAGAGAUGAGAGUGCCUUCGGAACGCUCAGACGAGUGCUGCAUGACUGUCGUCAGCUCGUGUCGUGAAAUGUUGGGUUAAGUCCCGCACGAGCGCAACCAUCAUCCUUGUGCCGCAAGUGAUGGUGGGAACUCGGAGGAGACUGCCCGUCAUCACCGAGAAAGGUGGGGAGUGACGUUCAGUUCUCAUGGCCCUUACAGUAGGCUACACACCUGCUGCUAUGGGCCCAUACAAGAGAUGACUCCGGGACAAGCGCAAACUAAAGUCCUCUUAGUCGAAGUGGAAUUGCACCUGCGUCGGAAUCGAUCGCUGUUAUAUCCUCCAUAG
rnacentral:rRNA from 1 species